rnacentral:rRNA from 1 species
UACGAAGGGGGCUAGCGUUGUUCGGAAUUACUGGGCGUAAAGCGCACGUAGGCGGAUAUUUAAGUCAGGGGUGAAAUCCCAGAGCUCAACUCUGGAACUGCCUUUGAUACUGGGUAUCUGGAGUAUGGAAGAGGUGAGUGGAAUUCCGAGUGUAGAGGUGAAAUUCGUAGAUAUUCGGAGGAACACCAGUGGCGAAGGCGGCGAUCUGGGACAAUACUGACGCUGAGGUGCGAAAGCGUGGGGAGCAAACAGG